GCAGCAGCCGCGGUAAUACCGAGGGUGCGAGCGUUAAUCGGAUUUACUGGGCGUAAAGCGUGCGUAGGCGGCUUCUUAAGUCGGAUGUGAAAUCCCUGAGCUUAACUUAGGAAUUGCAUUCGAUACUGGGAAGCUAGAGUAUGGGAGAGGAUGGUAGAAUUCCAGGUGUAGCGGUGAAAUGCGUAGAGAUCUGGAGGAAUACCGAUGGCGAAGGCAGCCAUCUGGCCUAAUACUGACGCUGAGGUACGAAAGCAUGGGGAGCAAACAGGAUUAGAUACCCGGGUAGUCCCUGUCUCUUAUAC
rnacentral:rRNA from 1 species